GGGGCUGGGGCUCAGUGGCAGAGCACUUGCCUGGUACUCAUGAGGCACUGGGUUCGAUCCCCAGCACCCCCA
rfam:Ictidomys tridecemlineatus contig040617, whole genome shotgun sequence.